UGGGCUCCCUAUCAAUUUUCUUAAGAGUACUAUAUCACUAAUUGGAAGGGAUACUGCUCAUAUUACACAAUAUGCCUCUUAGCUGAAUUACAACUUUUCCUUGCUGCCUAUCCCAUAUCUUAGUCUCUCCUUGAAAGAUGCAAAGCUCAACAAAUCUGAUUGGAUGCCAUUACUUCUUAAAAUAGAAAAGAGGCUUGCUUCUUGGAAGGACAAGCUCCUCUCUUUUGGUGGUC
rnacentral:lncRNA from 1 species